UCAACCCUUCUGAUCAGAGCCUUUCCUAAAUAGUGUUUGCUUCAAGAAGUGGCUUCAACAGACAGAAAUGCAGGCCAGAUUGGGAAAGGCUGGACGCUACACAACGGGAAACAUUAUGGACAUGAACAAGGAAAAA